UGCUCGCCAUGACAACGUGUUUGCGGCGGAGGUCCUGCUGCAGCGUGGGCUGGACCCCGACCUCCAGGACCGCGACCUCUGGACCGCCCUGCACACCGCGUGUGGGUGUGACCACGCAGAGGUGGUGCUGCUGCUGCUGCUGACGGGGGCCAACGUCCUGCUACAGGACGUGGACGGAAGCGUCGCCCUGGACCUCGCCCCUGAAGGGUCCGAGAGCCGCCACCCUCGUCAGCCAGCACCUGGAGGACACCGGGGUGGACCUGCUCUCCAUCCACACCUUGAGGUCCCAGAGGGCUGCCAGCAUGCUGUCUGAUGUCAGGCAGCUGGUGGGCAGUGGGGGGGGGGCCGGAGGGGGGGGGCUGGACCACGCCAACCAGGACGGGGUCACCCUGCUCCACAUAGCGGUUGCCAGCGGCUACAGGGAGGUGGUGCGCCGUGCAUGCUGGAAGGCGGGCGUGACCCCAUCCCCAUGACAACCACUUCUGGACCCCUCUCCACCUGGCCGCCAAUAUGGGCAGGUAACCACCUCCGACCCCCCUCACCCCUCACCCUCUCACCCUCUCACACCCUCACCUCUUCACCCCCCUCCUCCCCCUCUCUCACCCCUCACUCGGGUUCACUCUGGUUCCCUAGCAACACAUCUGCAUGCAGCAGCGCACUC